GACGAACGCUGGCGGCGUGCUUAACACAUGCAAGUCGAACGAAGUGGCGAACGGGUGAGUAACGCGUAAUCAACCUGCCCUUCAGAGGGGGAUAACACUUGGAAACAGGUGCUAAUACCGCAUACUGAUGGAUGGACCCGCGGUGCAUUAGCUAGUUGGUGAGGUAACGGCUCACCAAGGCCACGAUGCAUAGCCGACCUGGGAGGGUGAUCGGGCACACUGGGACUGAGACACGGCCCAGACUCCUACGGGAGGCAGCAGUAGGGAAUCUUCGGCAAUGGACGAAAGUCUGACGGAGCAACGCCGCGUGAGUGAUGACGGCCUUCGGGUUGUAAAGCUCUGUUAAUCGGGACGCGGUACCGGAAUAGAAAGCCACGGCUAACUACGUGCCAGCAGCCGCGGUAAUUC
rnacentral:rRNA from 1 species